UGGGGAAUUUUCCGCAAUGGGCGCAAGCCUGACGGAGCAAUACCGCGUGAGGGAGGAAGGCUUUUGGGUUGUAGACCUCUUUUCUCAGGGAAGAAGUUCUGACGGUACCUGAGGAAUAAGCCUCGGCUAACUCCGUGCCAGCAGCCGCGGUAAGACGGAGGAGGCAAGCGUUAUCCGGAAUUAUUGGGCGUAAAGCGUCCGUAGGCGGCUAGUCAAGUCUGCUGUCAAAGUUCAGGGCUUAACCCUGAGUCGGCAGUGGAAACUGAGUAGCUAGAGAGCGGCAGGGGUAGAGGGAAUUCCCAGUGUAGCGGUGAAAUGCGUAGAUAUUGGGAAGAACACCAGUGGCGAAGGCGCUCUACUGGGCCGUUACUGACGCUGAGGGACGAAAGCUAGGGGAGCGAAAGGGAUUAGAUACCCCUGUAGUCC
rnacentral:rRNA from 1 species